rnacentral:lncRNA from 10 species
CAGCGUCCUCCGUGGCGAGCUGGAGGGAAGCGCUCUCAGCAGAGAGGGUCGCCCUCACCAAGAAGCCAAAGGGAAGAGGACAGAAUCUAUCUUGUAGGGACGCCCUUGGUCUUCAGAAGGAACACUUUUUCUGUUUCACAGAGAUCUGUGGAAUGUGUGGGUUCCCUGAAGAGGUGGACGGACCCCCGGGGUCGCGCGUUUUCUCAGCCCUGGGCCCGUAGCGGAGCUCGAUCCUUCCAGAGCUCAGGGCCAGAAAUGUUGCGAUUCCGAACACUUUGCCUUUCUUCUGAGAGGAGCCGCCCGGCAGACGCUCAUCAUUAAGAAGCAACGUAAUUAACAACGAAUGUUUCCCCUUGGCGCUAAUGCGAACACCCUGGGGAACUGCCAAGUCUGAUAUGUCCACCGCAUUACAAAUGGGAUUCUCUGGCAUCUGACCAACCCUCACAAUGGCUACUGGCCAUCUCAUGCCCAACAGGACAAUGCUUAUUUCCACCAGGAGAUGGCGCAUGCCUUUUUUUUUUUUUUUUUAAAUCCCCAGGAAGGUCUCAGUGCUGCAAAAGCUCCAUGACCAUUCUGCUUCUAAACUGACGGAGCAAACAUAUAUUUCCAGUGGUAAUGCUAGGAAAUACUUUGCUAAGGAUGUUACUUUGGUCCUUCAGCCAGUGGUCAGAGAACAGAAUGACCAUACUGCAACCACCCAUGGUGAACUGACUGGCACACCUACAAAAAUCUUAUCUUUGGGGUCCCCAUAGUACCCAGUGGAUUGCCUUGCACAUUGUAGGUGCUCAGUAUGUGUUUGCUAAAGACAUGACCCUGGAUAAAUCACUUCACCUCAAUUAGUCUGUUUCCCAAAUCUGAAAAUAAAAGCAGUGAAAUGGACAAGGUGACAGUUAAGGCCUUGAAUCAGAAGAGCCUCUGACAAUGUGACAAAUAGCUUAGCCAUUCCUCCAAGACUGAGAUAAAAUGUCACUCUUGGUUCAGGAGCUGUGGCAGUAGGAGAACAUCAGGCAACUA